rnacentral:sRNA from 1 species
ACACAGAAGGGAGGUGGUUCGGCAGAUGUAUCAGAUCCGGACGCGUGAGGUGGCUGCGGCCUAGAGCCGUCGUCCCACGGAAACGUGGCGCCGGCUCCGCCGGCCAAUCCCAAGCAGUCACCCGACCCGCGAGCCGCCGGUAACGUCCGGCCGGCUCCCCCAGACGCCCCAGCGGCGCCGAGGGGAACCAGGCUCGCGGGUCGUUCCGU